AUUGAACGCUGGCGGCAGGCCUAACACAUGCAAGUCGAGCGAGCGGCGGACGGGUGAGUAAUGUCUGGGAAACUGACUGAUGGAGGGGGAUAACUACUGGAAACGGUAGCUAAUACCGCAUACCAUCAGAUGUGCCCAGAUGGGAUUAGCUUGUGGUUGGGGUAACGGCUAACCUAGGCGACGCUCCCUAGCUGGUCGGAGAGGAUGACCAGCCACACUGGAACUGAGACACGGCCCAGACUCCUACGGGAGGCAGCAGUGGGGAAUAUUGCACAAGGGGAGCAAGCCUGAUGCAGCCAUGCCGCGUGUGUGAAGAAGGCAUUCGGGUUGUAAAGCACUUUCAGCGGGGAGGCGUUACCCGCAGAAGAAGCACCGGCUAACUCCGUGCCAGCAGCCGCGGUAAUAC
rnacentral:rRNA from 1 species